GACCGGCGCACGGGUGAGUAACACGUAUCCAACCUGCCGUCUACUCUUGGACAGCCUUCUGAAAGGAAGAUUAAUACAAGAUGGCAUCAUGAGUCCGCAUGUUCACAUGAUUAAAGGUAUUCCGGUAGACGAUGGGGAUGCGUUCCAUUAGAUAGUAGGCGGGGUAACGGCCCACCAAGACUACGAUGGAUAGGGGUUCUGAGAGGAAGGUCCCCCACAUUGGAACUGAGACACGGUCCAAACUCCUACGGGAGGCAGCAUG
rnacentral:rRNA from 1 species